GAAAGUUGGGGGCUCGAAGACGAUCAGAUACCAUCCUAGUCUCAACCAUAAACGAUGCCGACCAGGGAUCGGCGGAUGUUGCUUAUAGGACUCCGCCGGCACCUUAUGAGAAAUCAAAGUCUUUGGGU
rnacentral:rRNA from 1 species